rnacentral:lncRNA from 1 species
GGAAGAUAAAAAACCCUAACUGAUCUUUUCCUUCAUAACAUAACCAAGAACAUAUACACACGCUGAACCCUAAUGAACAAAACGGCACCCCCUGAUCCGACCUCACUGUCGUAGCCGCAACUCCAGCUCGUCGUUGACCACCCAUCAAGCCCCCUACCACCGACGACCACUCGAACCUACUGCUCACUCCUCCAUCAGCCGCCACCCCCAUAUUCAACUUAAAACACGCCAGAAAACGCACACACACGCAGCAAUCAGCGGCAUCUCAUCCAUCUCCAUGCCCCAUAGCCCUCCGCCUAGACCCAGAAGCAGUAGCCGCUGCUCCCUUACCACCAAAUGGUGGAAUCUGGAGAAUCAACAGCUAUUGGCACUGCUGCUUGCUCACACUCGUUCCCUUCUUUGAAUUUUCUCUGUUUCUUUGAGACGUAGAAAAAUGCAUUAAAAAAUGUUUAUGUUCUUUAGAAUAUAGUUUGUGAGUGAGUUUCAAAAAAGAAGACAUUCAAAAGUAUUCUGCUUAUUCAUUUUUAAUUCUCAAUUUCAUUUCAAAAUAUGAAGUUUAAGCUAAGGUUGGUUUGAAGUUGUCACUGUCCGUUGAGGCUUCGGAAAAUUUUGGUUCGUGGUUUCGCGAGUUUGACUAUCAUUUGGGGUUCGGUCAUAGCAUUUCGUUUCAUUUUGCUCGUGUAAUUGUUGAAAAUUCUCAUCGAUAUAAAUUUCAAUUUUCAGCUUCUCGAUCCAGUUCGGGUUCUUGUUUUGUGGGAUUUGUCUGUCGAAUUUCGAUUCCAGUUCCUGACCUGUUACUGUAAUCGCUUGAGGUUCACUCUAUCUUCCCUCUUUGUUUUUAUCAUUCAUUACAUGUUCCUCUUUGUUGCUACAUUCCAUUACAUGUUAAAGUGGUGCAUUUGCUUUCAAUUUUACUGAUUUGAUGAUCUUUGAUGGUGCUAGCAUGUGUUAAAUUUUACUUGUUUGUGACAUUGAGGGUCGGGUACUUAAAUCGAAAGAGAAAUUAGAACAUAAGUGUUUCAUUUAAUUUUGUUUUAUUUCUUUGACCGUCGGAAGCAUGAUUAGGCCGACCACACCUGGGUAGGCAAACUUUAGGAUUUUUGUUAAUUUUAAUGCGAGAGGUCAUUCCAUAGUUAAAUUUAUCCGAGAAAUGCCUCGAGGGAUUUGUAUAUAUUUUAUUUCAGGGGUAUGCCCCAAAGUGAAUGUAAUUGGAGGCCGUGGCAAACAUCAUAGAAGAAAUAACGUAGGAUAAUUUAGAACUUUAAUUUUUCUUCUUUUAAUUAUUUUUUCAUUUUAGGUGGGGACUACCUCGAGCCUCUUUUGAUUGUUUAUUUCCUUUUUGUGUGUGAUAACCUCAAUUCGAAUAUUUUAAAAGUCGACUAGAUCAAGUACGUGACUGUAUUAGUUACGGAACUUGGGGAGUGCCUAACACAUUAUCCCCGAAUCAAAUGAACCUCCUUACCCGAAUCUUUGGUGCAGACUUGGUUUUAGAGUCUGAAACAUUUUAAAUGGAAAAAUCAUUUUAAAAACGGUGACCUGGCACACCGAAAUUAAUGUUAGGAGGCGACUCUGAGUUUAUUUCCUUUUGAACAUAAUUUUUGUCAUUUUCUAAUUGAAAACCCUUUUCGAGCUUUACACUUUUAUUUAUUUAAGAGAGAGUGAGGUUUUUAAAAAAAGGGGUGUGACAUCUCUGACGACUCUGUUGGGGAGUUGUAGGUUCGAGGUGAUACUGCAAUCUUGUUGGGUUUUAGAAUAUUUGGUUGAGGUUUUUAUGCUUUUUAAUUAGCUUUACUUGAUAUUUAUGUUAUUAUACUUUGUUAUUAUUUUUUAGUUGUUUAUGUGUUCUUUUUUUGGAGUUUAUGUGUUUACAGUUUUUGCUUUAUAUGUUUACUGCUUUAUAACUGCCAUCAUUUGCAUAACCUCGAGUCUUCUUUCUGCAACAAGUCUUUUGGAGUACGUUUGAGCGUACACAACCUUUUAUGAGUCACUCAUGUCUUUAGGGGGUGGCGUGAGAACUUGGAAUGGGCGGACAGCUAGAGCAGCCGCCAUCGACCACGUGCCACCCCAAAUUGCCUUGUUAGUAAACCCCAAACUUAGGUCAGCCUUUAGGUUAUUUUUAUUUGCAUCAUGUCAUUUAGAAUUAGCAGGACUCGGUCCUAGGCACCGUGUCCCUUUGUAGGAAGCUCAUCCAAACUUUAUCAAAAAAUGGGCCCGUGACUUAUAAAGACAUUCAAUCAUCCCUAUAUGAAACAUGUUGCAUCUUUGAGGGUAAAAAGGCCAUUUGACGGACCGAUUCUUGGGAAUGAAGGUUGAAAGACGAAGCAAGUAGAGCCUAAUUAUAUUUUUCUUUCACUACUUUCUCAAAAAUCAAAAAAAAUGAAAAUGAAAAAUUCAAACAGAUUUUACACGUUUUCAUUAUUUUCCAAAAGAUAAAAAAAAAUGAAAAAUUCAAAAAAAAUUUACACUUUCCCAUUGUUUUUCAAAAGACAACAAAAAAUGAAAAUAGAAAAUCUAAAAUGAUUUUACACUUUCCUAUUAUUUUUCAAAAGACAAAAAAUUAAAAAUAGAAAAUCUAAAAAGAUUUUAAACUUUUCCAUUUUUACAGAAAUUCAAAAAAAGGAGAAAAAGAAAAUUCAAAAAAGAUUUUACAUUUUGCAUCAUUUUCCAAAAAAAUAUAUAAAAAAAGAAAAUCCAAAAAGAUUUUACAUUUUCCAUCAUUUUAAAAAAGACAAAAGAAAAAAUAUAGUUUUUCCAAAUUAGUUGCAUUUUUUGUAAGAGCUUUCUCCCAUUUCAAAUCAUCCUGAACCACAUGAACCUGAUUCUCGUCUUUCGAGACGUCAUACGUAAGCAACUCACAUAGGGUCUGGUCUUCCUAGUAUCUUAGGUUCUUGGCUUCGUGGGUCUUAGCUUAAUCUUGCAUGUCUAGCAACUUUUGGCCACAUUGGCCGUUCUUGCAAAAUGGGGUUAUUUUUGCAAAAAUGGUUCAAUUACCCAUAUCUUAGGAUCUUAAGUCCACAACUAGGUAUCAUAUUACAUUAAGGUUUGUCCUUUUUGAGUUUGCAUCUUUAGCCACUUCUGGCCAUAUCGGUUGUUUUUGCGAAAUAGGUCAUUUCUGCAAAUUAAUUUUUUGGGCCAUGAUUAUUGGGAGUUGAAUUCAUAUAAGCGUUCGUAUGGUAUUUUCAUAUUUGAGUAGUCACCCUUGUUGAUUUUGCACUUAUAUCCACUAUUGGUUACGUAGGUUAAUUUUUAAAAAUGGCCAAUCGUGUCUCGCAUGUGUCCAACAAGAGGUGUUGUGGUGUCGUAUAGUGUCCCGAUUCACUAAUUCAUUUGGUCUUAUUUUUCUCAUUCAGGUAUGAAUUCAUUUACCAUAGCGUGAGCGCAACGGAUACCCAGGACCACAACAUUCAGGAGCUGCUUAAGGAGACUUUUUAUAUUUUGA